rnacentral:SRP_RNA from 1 species
ACCAUAAUUUGCAUCUGUGGUCCUUGCUACUCUGGAGGCUGAGGCAGGAGGAUCGCUGGAGUCCAGGAGUCUUGGGCUUCAUUGUGCUAGGCCAGUCGGGAUGCCACACUAAGUUCGGCAUCAAUUUGUGGACCUUCUGGGAGCAGGGGACCACCAGGUUGCCUAAUGAGGAGUGAGCCAGCCUAGGUUGGGAAUGAAGCAGGUCAGAACUCCUGUGCUGAUCACUAGUACAUCUCUUUAAAAACUCAGUCAUCUUGUCAUUCACCCCUAAAUACUGCCA